rnacentral:lncRNA from 1 species
GAUGUGGGAGAGCAAGGAGGCCUGGAAGAGUCACCUCACGUCAUCCCUGGCCAAGAACUUCCAACACAGCAACAUUGACAACCUGCAGCAACCAGAAUCUUGUAACAGUAUGCCUAUACCUAGUGCAUGGUGGAAAAGAGACUGAAGAUGUGGAGCCAAGCUAGUUCUGGGAACAGAAAUAAAGAAGAACACCUUAGUACAAUUGACAAAAAAAAUUGUCAGACCCCCACCCACCUUUAGUGAAGCGUGUUAAAAGUGUCUGUUCUGUCUCCCCAGCUGUGAUAUCUGUAUGCUGUUCACUCGUCUCUUUACUGAAUAGAUAGACAUAUUUCCUUGUAGGGACCAGCUUAGUUCCCACAGAUACAGAGAGAGAGGUGAUCUUAGAACUUAGAUCUCUCAGUGUUACAUGUGCUGUAAAUGAUGAACUAUAAAAUAACAUUGAGAACAGUACAAAGAGCAGGCUAGUAGCUGUAGGCUAGGGGUUUGGGGGGUUCAAACAAACUGCUCUUUUUGCUGGAAAAAGGUCCCACUUGGGUAAAAUUUGACCAAAGUACACAAAAGUUUCAAGGUAAAAGGUCCACUUUCUAGAAAACAACCCCCUGGUAGAUUUUGAAAUUGCUGACUAUGGGCCUGAAGGGUUUCUACAGUCAAAAUGAAGAGGCAAAAUGAAUUCAGUUGAUGGAUCUAUUUCAGUGAGUAUUUCUGAGUAAGUGCAUUUGGCAGAAGUGAAUUAAUUGGUUUACUGCCAGCUGUAUACUGCCAGUGUUUUAAAAGUAUUUAAAACUUCUGCCUUCCAUCUCAACAUGAGGCAGGUACCUUAAAGUAUGCGGUCACUCUCCACUUUACAGCAGCGCCCUCUAGGAGGACUCCAUGAAACAACAUAUAGGUGGAGCAUUGUAGCCAAAAAUUUGAAAUCAACAAGUGUUCAAUUUGAAUAAUGUUCAGUACAAACAGAUACAGUCUGCAUUGUCUAGAUCAUAAGAGGAGGAAAGCCUGCUCUAGAUAGUCUGGGAAAUAUUUUCCAGUGUCUUGGUGAAAGAGAUUAAUUUUCUGUUGGCAAAUAGUAUUAAAGUUAUGAAUUCUGGGACAGGAACUUUCAGUAAUGGCAGUUGCUCAGGACACUUUUCACAGAUCAAGGAUGAAUUUAUAAAGAGUUGACUUUUCUGUAAGCAAAAGUAUUAAAGUUAUGAAUUCUGGGGCAGGAAAUUCCUCAGGAGACUAUUCAAAGAUCAAAGAUGAAUUACUGGUAGAAUUUUUUUUUUAAUUUUGUGUAUAUACAGGUCACAUUUUUGUAUAUGUUUAGCGUAUGUUGGCGUAAUACAACAUAUUCUAUCCCUUCAGAGUACAAGUACUUAAAUUGUGUAUUUUCUAGUUAGGAGUAUAUUUUUUAGAACCCGUAUUAUGUUUACCUAAGGAAUCUGUAUAGCAGCAUUUCAUCAGUGCCCUCUUGUGUUUGAUGUUUUUUGGGGUAUAUAAAACUUGUCUUCCAUGUCUUCACUGAACAGCUGACUACAGUGUAGUGAUUGUUAAAACAUCCAACAGCGAAUUAGAGCAAUAGCUAAGAGUACGUAUCUUUAUACCUGUAUUUUUUCGUUUUCAUCUAUACUAGUUAUCGUAUAAAAAAUAAACU